GACGAACGCUGGCGGCGUGCCUAAUACAUGCAAGUAGAACGCAGUUUCGAACGGGUGAGUAACGCGUAGGUAACUGCCUCAUAGCGGGGGAUAACCAUUGGAAACGGUAGCUAAUACCGCAUACUGUGAGCUGGACCUGCGUUGUAUUAGCUAGUUGGUGGGGUAAAGGGUCACCAAGGCGACGAUACCUCGCCGACCUGGGUGGGUGAUCGGCCAAGCUGGGACUGAGACAAGGCCCAGACUCCUUCGGGGGGGAGCAGGAGGGAAUCUUCGGGAAUGGACGGAAGUCUGACCAGGCAACGGCGCGGGGAGGGAGAAAGUUUUCGGGUCGUAAAGCUCUGUUGUUAGGGAAGCGGUAACUAAACAGAAAGGGACGGCUAACUACGUGCCAGCAGCCGCGGUAAUUC
rnacentral:rRNA from 1 species